GGCUUGCACAGGUGCUGCAUGGCUGUCGUCAGCUCGUGUCGUGAGAUGUUCGGUUAAGUCCGCUAACGAGCGCAACCCUCGCUGUGUGUUAUAUGUGUCACACGGGACUGCCGGUCUUAAGCCGGAGGAAGGUGGGGAUGAUGUCAAGUCAGCAUGGCCUUUAUAUCCUGGGCUACACACACGCUACAAUGGCCAACACAAUAGGUUGCUAAGCCGCGAGGUGGCGCCAAUCCAUAAAGUUGGUCUCAGUUCAGAUUGUAGGCUGCAACCCGCCUGCAUGAAGAUGGAGUUGCUAGUAACCGCAGGUCAGCUAUACUGCGGUGAAUACGUUCCCGGGGCUU
rnacentral:rRNA from 1 species